ensembl:lncRNA
UGGCUGUCACAGGCUGCUUUCCAUUGCCCUAAGGAGUGAUUCUACUGCGGCAACGAGACCAAAUACAACGAAAGUAUUGAUGCUGUAAAAGAAGACGGAUCUUUUGGUAGGCUGGUUAAUGAUGACCACAAGCACCCAAAUGGCAGAAUGCAGAAGACUGAAGUGGAUGGAAGCCCACAUCUUGGUCUGUUUGCUUUAACAGACUUUAAAGAAGGUGAUGAAAUUGCCUACAAUUACGGAGGAGGAGACUGGCCUUGGUGUAGCAAGAUUAUGGAGGGGGACACUGCUGAGAACAAUGGCCAGGAGAAACAGCAGCCAUCACAGUCUACACCUUUUCUGGAUCAUAAAUAUCAGAAUUGUGUAGUUUGCUGGCACUUUUAAUCCUGCC